rnacentral:rRNA from 1 species
CCUACGGGAGGCAGCAGUGAGGAAUAUUGGUCAAUGGACGAGAGUCUGAACCAGCCAAGUAGCGUGAAGGAUGACUGCCCUAUGGGUUGUAAACUUCUUUUAUAUGGGAAUAAAACGUUCCACGUGUGGGAUUUUGUAUGUACCAUAUGAAUAAGGAUCGGCUAACUCCGUGCCAGCAGCCGCGGUAAUACGGAGGAUCCGAGCGUUAUUCGGAUUUAUUGGGUUUAAAGGGAGCGUAGGUGGAUUGUUAAGUCAGUUGUGAAAGUUUGCGGCUCAACCGUAAAAUUGCAGUUGAAACUGGCAGUCUUGAGUACAGUAGAGGUGGGCGGAAUUCGUGGUGUAGCGGUGAAAUGCUUAGAUAUCACGAAGAACUCCGAUUGCGAAGGCAGUUCACUGGACUGCAACUGACACUGAGGCUCGAAAGUGUGGGUAUCAAACAGGAUUAGAUACCCUAGUAGUC